CGUGAUCCGGCCAAAAGGAAGUGACCGGUAUUCAUCAGUGAACCCCAAGUAUUAUAGGAAGAGAUAAUUCUACAAAUCUGGAAAUAUGAACACCAAAGUGCGAAUGUUCUUGCUAACUGCUAUAUUUCUGACUUGCUUGGUGGGCCGGGGCGACUGUUUUUGGCAAUGCAAGCCGGGAAGUCAGUGCGUUGGACGCAAAAGGUUCUUUGGGAAGCUGUCCAGAGGGGGAAGUGAUACACCACUUGAAGCAGAAAACCGUCGAAUUGCAUCAGAGGACCCAGACUUUGUACGCGCUCGACCCCUGUGAUGUUGCGAAAGGAACAUGCCGAGGAUCAGUCGAAGCAGGGAAGCUUGAUGAUGCUUUAACUGAGAAUCCGAUCUUGCAAAUCAUGGAGAAAACGUCCAUUUCUUAACUA